UACUCCUGUGACCUCGGGUAAGUCAUCUCACCUUCCCUGGCCUGUUUCCUCAUCCUUAAAUGUCCUGGGUCAGGCAGCCAGAUGAACCCAAAUGAGCAAUCUGAGAAGCAACGUGAACUUCGGUACUCUCUGAUCCUGGUGCUUGGUUUCCAGCAUGAGAAGAUACAUUUACACAAAGAAGAACCUGCUUAAUGGAUUUCUGUCUGGAUGGCUGACGUUCUCUGUGCUGUUCACAGCAACUCUCUCCCUUCUCCUCAGCUGAAAUCGAGUCAUCCUUUCCCUGAUGCUCAUUUUGUCAGCAAGCACUUUCCUCUACUUUACUGGGCCCUGAUCCAUAAUUGCUCCUUGCCCACCCACAGUGCCUUUCCUCUUGUCUUUUGCCUGCCAGCCAUAUCUUGGCCCCUCAGGAAUUUAAUAUCGGAAAUUCUGUUCCUAACAGACACUUGUCUGGUUUCUUAUCUUUCCAAAAACUCUUCUAUGUCCAUCCCCUUAUUCCAACAACUCUCCACAGCAAGAUGCUUUCCUACAACUGACAGAUGUAGAAACCGAGAUUUGGGCAGAGUGGGGUAGCCAAUAGGAGAUGGGGCCUAGAUUAAAACCUGGAUGUUCUGACACCAACUGCUUCAAAACCCACAUCUCCUUAUUCUGUUAAUAUGCUUAGGGUUUAGGAUAACUCCCCCUCCGCCACCCCAUGGGUAACAAUUUGUUUAGGGCUUAGGAUAAUUUUUUUUCCCCACAUGUAAAGGUUGACUAUCGCAAUAAAAAUAGCUCCUCAAAUAGGGGUGAAAGGGUGUGGGAAUUCCUCUAGCUUCUUGAAAUGAUGACUUAGCUUUGUGGAUGUUUAGAGUAGGGAGGACCUGGAAACAGUGGCAUCACUAGGGUUGGUGUCACCCAGUGCGGUAACUCAUGGUGUCACCUCCCACAGGCUAAUUAUCAGAAUAUUGUAGCUAAAAUACCAGAAAAUUCAACAAAAUCAGAGACUAUAAAAAUACUGGCAGCAAUGAAAACAACAGCACCUGCUUGUAGCACAUGCAGACGAAACCACGUGAUUCAUUGUAAUUGGGUAGUAAUGACGGCUCUGACUGGAGAGCAUUAGAAGGUUCAAAAAGUAAAUUAGCAUGGAGUUUUAGCCUUGUAGGUGUAUUGAUACAUGUAAGCUGGGUUUACGAAAAAAAUUUUUGUUAUAAUAACUGCAGGAAACUUUUUAUAAAAAAAGUAAUAAAUUUCUGUUGAAACAUUGCACGAAAAUUUUAUAGACAGGGAUUUUGGUGCCACGUCCUCUGAUAGUGUCUCUCGAUGUGGUCUGCAACCCCUUCAUCCCUGUAGAGAUGCCACUGCUUGGAAAUCAUGGAAUCCGAAGCCCUCACAGUAGACAGAUGAGUCAGCAGGCACCUACAGAAAAUGUGUCUUGCCAAACGUCAGGCCUCAAGCUCUGCCACCACCGGCAGGACUUUAGGGAAGUGAGAGAAAGGUAAAGGAACCUCUUGGACCAGUGCAAAUUCAACCAGCUCACAGGCCCACUCCUUCCCACUGGAGUUUUGGGCCUGUGGCAGACUUCAGGAACUCUGCUUAAUGUGAAGAGAUUCUGCCAAGGCACUACCUGUAGAGCAUUGCCCUUCCAGGGAAUUGAAUUUGCAAUGUUCCAUCUGCAUACUAACGAUCGUGAGGACGGUGCAGGACAGGGCAGUGUUCUGUUCUGUCGUACACGGGGUCGCUAUGAGUUGGAACCGCCUCUGUGGCACCUGACAACAACAUCUGGCUCUGUCUUGUGCUUGUUGUCUUUAAGCUUUAAGGUGGCUGACUAAAGUACAGGUCAACUACAGAGAGAAUAAAAGGAGACAGAGCUCGAGCCACCCCUGACCUGGAGGCAGAGCUCUUUGCAUGUCACUGGUGCUGCCACCUCCACCACUUCACCUGCAUGGAUUGGGGAUGUUGUCCCUGUAGACCUCUCUGGGCCCAGGGGUAUUGCCCACCCAUCCACUUGCCUCUUACAGCCCCUUUGCUUUACCAGGACACCCAGCUUUGGUGCGCUCCCUUACAUGAUGUCCCCUAGCCCCUAGCUGGGCUUCCCUGGCUGUGGGCACCUUCUCUGUGCCCCCUGCUGCUGCCUUCCUGAGCCCAUUUCUUAAUAUAUAGACCAAAGCGAACAAAGAUUAGCUUGCAGGGUUGUAGAGCGUAUGGUUGAAAAUACUAGUCAAGCGCGUGGCAUAGCGCCUAACCCAGAGAAGGUCCCAAAUAACAGUAGCUAUUAAUAUGAUUUACAAAGACAUUUCCCUCCACCCGGCUAUAAAGUCUUAGAAGUUAAGGAUCAUGUCAUUCAUUUUUGUAUCCUCUGUGCCUGGUACAUAUUAACUGCUUAAUAAAUGUCUACAGAGCACACGGAAGAGAACUGUCCUGGCUGUGUCUGAACAUCUGCUGCUUACAGUCCCAGCAGUUCCCGAAAUGUUCGCUGGAAUGUUUCACCCAGGCAAAGCCAUCAGCCUCAUGACUGGCUUCUCUUCUUCACCAGGACUCAGCACCGUUAUGAAAAGGGUGAACUUUGUUCAAGCUUUCCUUAGACUGCGGGGAGAAAAGAAUUUAAAAAAGGAAAAAAAUGAACACAUUUACUGAGGGACAUUCUAGAAUGUUGAAAUCGGGUUCGGAGGAAAUGGUUAAAAAAAUGCUGCAUCACAGAGGAGUGUUUGCUCAAGAACUUGGUUCCGUUUAGCAAGGCAGUGAUUCUCAGCUCCAGGCACAGUGGUAGUGUCUCCCAGCUGUGUGCUAGGGCGCUGGUGAACCCCACUCGCCUCCUUGAGCGCAGAAGGGUGGAGUGUGGCUUACACGCAAACAUGGCUUUUGAACUCAGUUCAAUCAGAGAUCAGGUUUGCUGAGAAGUUUCCAAUUACCAGAAAAAUCUAUCUGAGGGCCACUUUUAUGGGGCGAGGGGCAGUAACUCUGAACCAGCACUGCAAAGACUAAGCCAAGAGCUCCAAAGACCCCCGAAUCAUGCUCUUACAAGAAGGAGACCAUCACUGAGUGCCCACUCUACGAGCUAACCCUUUGAGGAAACACUAAAAUGAUGUGGGUGUGGUAGAAAGGCAUUGGUUUAGCUCCUGGGAAUAAAAACAGCAGCACUAAGCUUUAAAAAAAAAAAAAAAAAAAGCUUUAGAGCUUGCUUUAAUUACUAUACAUUUCUCAAUCAAUUUCUGAAUUUGGAAAGUGAUGUUUACUUUUCCAGGUCCCACCACUCCUUUGUGACCCAGCUCAAGCGCCCCUUUUACAAGGCCUUCAUCACCCUCCUGCCUGUCACGUCCCCAGCCUCCAGGGCAGGAGCCCAUGGAGCCCUUCUUCUGCUUCAUCUCUUGUGGCACUUAUCCUCAUUCUCCCUUGCAUUAGUAUUAUUUAUACCAAUAUUUUGUGUUUCCUAGCAGAAUGCAAACUCCCCAAGGUCACAGUGAGUCCCCUGGGUCUGCUAGAGCACUCAGCACAGCGCCUCGGUGGAGGGAUGUAUCAUUAAUACGUAUUGACUGAACAAAUGGAAAAAAAAAAAGCGAAGUCAAGGAUAUCUUCCAACUUCAAAAGCUACAGAAAGUUUUGAGAAUAGAAGAACAAAGGUCUCCUAUAAUGUCUUGAAAAAUAAAAUUGACAAAGUGACUCAGAAAACUCAGAUAAUUUCCUGGAGCAUCUAAAAAACCAAACCAAACCCACUGCCAUCGAGUCAAUUCCAACUCAUAGCAACCCUGUAGGACGCAGUAGAACUGCCCCACAGGGUUUCCAAGGAGCGCCUGGUGGAUUUGAACUGUCGACCUUUUGGUUAGCAGCUGUAGCUCUUAAUCACUAUGCUACCAGGGUUUCCUUUCAAUGUGCCUGGCUAGGUUGUGAAUUCCAUAAGGACGUGGACCAUAUUUUUAAAUCAUCUCAGAUUCCCCACUGCCUAGCACAUUUUUGGCAUACCUUUUUUUCCCUCUUUCUUUGUUUUUUAAAAUAGAAACAUCUUUACUGCUCUUGCUGGUUGAGCCGUGACAGGUGCUCAAUGUAAACAUUUAAACAACGCAGAAACUUUUCAAAAGAAAGGUCCGCCUUUGUCCAUCUUCCAGGAGGGUUUUAUUUGCUGACAUACUUCCGUAGUUGUAGUGCAAUAUAAACAAUAUACUUAUACUAAUUUAUGCAUCCUAUCUGGCAUGCCCAGGUGGAACAAAUGGUUAAGCGCUCAGCUACUAACAGAAAUGUUGGUGGUUUGAACCCCCCCAGAUGUGCCUCAGAAGAGAGGCCUGGUGAUCCACUUCGGAAAAGUCUAUGGAGCAGAGCUCUACUCUGACACACAUGGGGUCGCCAUGAGUCAGAGUUGACAGCGCCUGUUUUUUUUUAAAUCUGCUUUUAAGAAAACCAUAUCAAAAUGUUAUGACCUCAUUUGCACAUAGAGACGCAUGGGUCCCCUGUCCCUUAGCAGCUGUGUCAUCUUCUUUAUUACCUCUCACCGUUAGAACCUCAGGUAGGUUUCAACUUCUGCUAUUACAGCCGUCUCUGCCGUGAGACCCUUGCUUGUACAUCUUGGACCCACGUGAGUAUUUUCACAUCACUCUUAGACGUGGGAUUUAUGGGCAUGAGGGUACAGACAUGUAACGUUUUUAUAGAUACUGCCUAGUUUCCCUCCAAAAAGUUUUUUUUUUUUUUUCUAUUUUUACCCCCAAUGGAAAUUCAAAAGGCCUAUUGGGCUUACUUAUCUUUCAAGUUUUUUUCUGGCAUAUAUUGAAAGACUUGCAGCCAACAUGAUUUUAAAAUAACACAUUAGUUGUGUAAAGUAUUCUAUACUUUUCUGGGUAUUUUUUUACAUAUGGUAUGGGUUCUCCUUUGACCUUUACAGUAGUCGGUGAAGUGAGUAAGGAAGGUUUUAUUAUUUCUAUUUUAGAGAGAAAGAAUCUCAGCCAGGUAGACUUGCCCCAAAUUAUGCUGCAGGUCAAUGUGAAAGUCGGAAGCAGCAACCUUGAACUGCUUUUUUGAGUUUCUCCUUCUACCAGCUGGAAGGACCAGCGUUGAGAGACAUGGAGGGCCCGGCCAUCUGGUGAGGAGCCUCCCAAGGGUUUUGCAAGUCUUGAAUUCAUGCCAAGGCACAAAGAAUGAGCUGACUGGGGUGUUCGAUUUCUCUAGCCAAAAUAAGUACUCCUUCUUUCUGACCAAGCCAAGCAGCGGCCGGAUGAGACAGGUGGCCCGGCAUGUUGGCAUCAGGCCUGUCACAAAGCUCUGGGAGGGUGGGAGGUAGAAUGCUCCAUGAGGCAUGUUGUCACGAGCUCCCUUUUCACUUCAUUCUCAGAGGCCCCCAAUUUGGAAGUUGAGGAGAGAACUGGCCUGAGGAAUUCUCACCGACUUCGUGUUGGGGUCCGCUGAAAUCCCGUGCUGUGCCUCCGUUUGCCUUUUACCCUAUUGCUUCACUUACAUGAGGUUAUUGAUGCUUUUUGAAGUGUUGUUUACUAAUCCUUGGAAAAGAAAGAAAAUCCUAUUGUUUAACAGAAAUUUACAUGGGUUAUUGGUUGGAUAGGGCUGCUUUGUUAUUCUGAAGAAGGUUAUUUCUAUACAUUAGCUGAGGCAGAAAAGUCACUUUAUAUGAGAUCAGAAUGGAAAGCGCCAUAUAGCAUAGAUGGGCAGACAGCUGAGUAACAGUGGAAUACCCUGGAAGGGCCAAUUGCUGGUCACAUGAGUGUUUAUAUGGACUAGGUCUACAGUCACUAUGAGUCAGUAAUCGACUCGGUGGCAGUGAGUUCGGUUCGGUUGAGAGGCCUACAAUGUCCAGCAGAGUAACCUCUAGCCAACCUGUAGCUAUGGAGCACUUGACAUGUGGCUACUCUUGAAGAACUAAUUUUUAACUUUAUUUACUUUUAAUAUUUAAAUUUAAAAACUCAAUUCAGUUGUUGGAAAAACUUUAUGUUUCGAACAACUUGGGUAUGUGAAACUACUUUUCAAUGGUAAAUUUUAUGCACCCUACAGAUCAAGUGUUUCUAAUGAAAAUUUAGUGUGUGAAUUGAGAUGUGCUCAAAGGGUAAAAUACACACUAGAUUUCAAAGGAUUAGUAUGAAAAAAAAUGUGAACUAUCUCAAUGAUUUUUAUAUUGAUCGCAUGUUACAAUGAUAAUAUUUUGGAAAUCCCAUUGCCACUGUGUCGAUUUUGACGCAUAGCAAGUCAAUUCGAUCUUUCAACCCACGGCAACACUAUAGGACUGAGCAGACCUGCCCCAUAGGGUUUCCAGGGCUGUAAUCCUUCUAGAAGCAGACUGCCACAUCUUUCUCCCAUGGAACAGCUGGUAGGUUCAAGUCACCGACCUUUCGGUUAGCAGCCGAGCACUUAACCACUGGGCCAUUAGGGCUCCUUUAUUUUGGAUAUAGUUAGUUAAAUAAAAUAUAAUACUAAAAGCAAUCUCAUCUGUUUUGCAUUUUUACAUUUUUAAUGUGGUUACUAGAAACCUUUAAAUUAACUAUGGAGCUCUCAUGGCAUUUCUGUUGGACAGGACUCGACUAGAAUGUCAGUGAACGAAUAACAGCCUGGUUGGCAGACUCUGCCACCACAUGGUAGACAUGAUGCCGGGUGUGUGUGUGUGACAGAAUCAGGUCCCCGCUCAUCUCUUAAGAUCCCUUAAGAAAGAGUCCAUAACACACAGAGGUUAAUAGUUUGGGCUCUGAAGCCCAACUCCCUGGAUUGACCCCUACGUCAGUUACCUGAUUUCCCAUCUGUAAAAUGGGGGUGAUGACUAUACUACCUGUUUUACAGGGUUAUUGUGAAGGCUAAAUAAGUCAAUUCAUGUAAAGCACUAAGUGCCUGGCACACUGUAAAUGCCUAAUGAGUUUUGGAUAAUUAUUUCCAGAAAAGUAAAGCAAAAUGCUCAUUCAUGAAAAAAAAAAAAAAAGCAGAUGACUAUUUCCUAGAGAAAGUAAAAGAGCAAACCAAGAGAAAAAAAAGGACUAAAUUUUCAUAAAAAAGGACUAAAUUUUCAUACUCAGUAUUGACCUCCUGGAAUGUGAAAUUUCUUGGCCAUUAAUUCACCCAUUCAUUUAUCAAGUGUUUAUACAUCACCUAAUCUAUGCCAGGAAAUGCUGGUGGCACAGUGGUUAAGAGCUCAGCUGCUAACCAAAAGGUCAGUAGUUCGAAUCCACCAGGUGCUCCUUGGAAACUUUACAGGGCAGUUCUACUCUGUCCUAUAGGGUUGCUAUGAGUUGGAAUCGACUUGACAGCAGUGGGGUUUUUUGGUUUAAUCUGUGCCAGGGAGGCCUGGAGGUGCAGUGGUUAAGCGUUUGGCUGCUAACCAAAAGGUUGGCGGUUUGAAUUCACCAGCCGCUCCUUGGAAACCCUAUGGGGCAGUUCUGCUCUGUCCUAUAGGGUCACUAUGAGUCGGAAUCAACUCGAGAGCAAGGGUCUUUUUUUUUUUUAAUCUAUGCCAAGUACUGAGUAAGCAAAACAAUUACAAAACUCAGAAGAGCAUCUUGUAAGUUUGCUACACAUUGGAUGUAAAAAAUACACCAUUCUAUUGAAAUAUAACACUCCUUCACAGAUAUCUUUUCUGGAGACCUCCUCCCAGCUAAACAACAGACAGGCACAUGAGAUAAACACUAACACCCAAGAGAAACAUGCUCCUUAGAACAAUCAACUAUACGAGAUCAAAAGGGCAAUAUCUGCCCAAAAGCAAAGAUGAGAAGGCAAGAAGGGGUAGAAAAUCAGAACGGAAGAAAAUGGGGAACCCAGGACGGAAAUGGGGACAGUGCUGACACAUUGUGGGGAAUGAAACCAAGGUCAUGAAACACUUUAUGUACAAACUAUCAAAUGGGAAACUAAUUUGCUCUGUAAACUUUCACCUAAAGCACACACACACACACACACACACACACACACACACACAGGGACAAAUAUUUUCUAGCUUCAUAAAUUAAAUUCUUUAUGGUUUUUCUUUUUUUCUAACAUGUAUAUUUAAAGCUCUAAAUUUCCCUGUAAGUACUUUUAUGCUGUGUUCUAAAGAGCUGAGUUCAAUUUUCAUAGCUACUAGUUUUAAAUAUUUUAAGUUUCCCUUUUAAUUUAUUUUUUAAACUAUGAAUUUUUUAGAAGUAUGCCAUUGGUUUCAAGAUAUAUGGAGGACAUGGUUUGGUUAUCUUUUUAUUGUUGUUUUUAGGUGCCAUCGAGUCAGUUUCAACUCAUAGCCACCCUACGUACAACAGAACGAAACACUGUCAGGUCCUGAGCCAUCCUCUUGGUCGCUGUUAUGCUCGAGCCCAUUGUUGCAGCCACAGUGUCAAUCCAUCUCCUUGGGGCUCUUCUUCUCCUUCUCUGAUCCUCCACUUUACCAAGCAUGAUGAUCGUCUUCAGGGACUGGUCCCUUCUGAUAACAUGUUCAAAGUAUGUGAGGGGAAGUUUCGCCAUUCUUGCUUCUAAGGAGCAUUCUGCCUGAAUUUCUUCCAAGACAGAUUUGUUCUUUCUUUUGGCAGUCCAUGGUUUAUUCAAUAUGCUUCACCAACACUGUAACUCAAAGGCAUCAAUUCUCCUUUGGUUUUCCCAGCUCUCACAUGCAUAUGAGGUGAUUGAAAAUACCAUGGCUUGAGUCAGGCACACCAUAGUCCCUGAAGUGAUAUCUUUGAUUUUUAACACUUUCAAGAGGUCUUUUGCAGCAGAUUUGCCCAGUGCAAUGCGUCUUUUGAUUUCUUGACUGCUGCUUCCAUGGCUGUUGAUUGUGGAUCCAGGUAAAAUGAAAUCCUUGACAACUUCAAUCUUUUCUCUCUUUACCAUGACAUUGCUUAUUGGUCCAGUUGUGAGGAUUUUUGUUUUCUUUAUGUUGAGGUGCAAUCCAUACUGAAGGCUGGGGUCUUUGACCUUCAUCAGUAAGUGCUUCAAGUCCUCUUUCAGCAACCAAGGUUGUGUCAUCUGCAUAACGCAGGUUCUUAAUGAGUCUUCCUCCAAUCCUGAUGCCCUGUUCUUCUUCAAAUUGUCCAGCUUCUCAGAUUAUUCGCUCAGCAUACAGAUUGAAUGGUAUGGUGAAAGGAUACAAUCCCGAUAUACACCUUUCCUGACUUUAAACCACUCAGUAUCCCCUUGUUCUUUUCCAACAACUGCCUCUUGAUCUAUAUACAGUUUCCUCGUGAGCACAAUUAAAUAUUCUGGAAUUCCCAUUCUUCGCAAUGUUACCCAUAAUUCAUUAUGACCCACACAGUCAAAUGCCUUUGUAUAGUCAAUAAAACACAGGUAAACUUCUUUCUGGUAGUCUCUGUUUUCAACUGGUAUCCACCUGACAUCAGCAAUGAGAUCCCUGGUUCCACGUCCUCUUCUGAAUCCGGCUUGAAUUUCUGGCAGUUCCCUGUCAAUGUACUGCCACAACUGCUUUUGAAUGAUCUUCAGCAAAAUUGUACUUGCAUGUGAUGUUAAUGAUAUGUGCUAACACGUGGGACUGUCUUUUUAUUAGUGAUUUUUAAUAAAUACUAAUAUUCAUUGUUUUCAGAGAUCACAGUCUUUGUAAUAUUGAUUCUUUGGAAUUUGUUGAGACUUCCUUUGUGGCCUAGUAUGAUCAAGUUAUGAAAAUGUUCCACCCGUGCUUAAAAAAAAUGUGUUAUCUAUUGGACGAUGCAAGAGUCUAUAUGUUAUCUACUAGAGUUAGUCCGUUUAAAAUGUUUUGUGCAAAUUUUGUGUGCCUUAAUUGUCUAUAAUUUUUGGUCUGCUUUAUCUGUUAGUUUCUGAGAGAGGUGUUCUAAGACCUCUCACUAAGACGGUAGAUUCGCCUACUUCUCCACGUAACCCCACCGCUUUGAGCUUUGUAUACUGUUAUGUUAUGACAUUAAAUAGCUAGGAUUUAAAGAUUUUACAUCUCCUUGAUGUAUUGCUUUCUUCAUUUCCAUUAAAAAUUGCACCUUAAAUUCUUCUAUGUUUGAUAUCAAUAUCGCUAAAUAAGGUUUCCUUUGGUUAGAAGUUACCUGGUGUUCCCCCCCUCCCCCCGCCCCACCUUUUUGGUAUCUUUAUUUUUAACCUAUCAAAGUGAUUGUGCUUGAGGUAUGUCUCUUUUAAAUAUACAAUGUGGUAGUUUGUCUUUUUAUUUUUCCAAUCUGGGAAUCUGUUUAAUCUACUUACUUUUUUUGUGUGUGUGUGUGAUUACAGAAAUAUUUGGACUUAUAUCUAGUAUCUGUUUUUGUGUUGUUAUUCUUAUUUUCUAUAAUUUCUCAUGGUUUCUUUUUCUCCUUUCCUGUCGGGUUGGAUAUUCUCUAUUUGCCCUUCAGAUCCACUCUCCAUCCUUCCCCACCAGCUCUGUGACCAGACAACUAACCUCAGUGGAUACCAACCCACCGCCUUGUCUUUCAACUGUUGGUCGGAAUCGGCCAGUGGGAAUCACCACAGGAUACUGGAAGACAAACGCAGAGGAGAGUGGAGCACCGCAGACUGACGCCACAGGAGAAGACUUGUAACUGAGAAUCACCGUUGUGAACACAGACCCAGGCUGAGGACACGCGAGGGAGCCAGUCGUCACCCGGGGAAGUUUGCUCACCACUUGUUGUGGAGAAUGACCGUGGGCAGUGACCGCCACAGGUGCUAAGAUUAGUCAGCCCAUCGAAAGGUCAGCUUCCUACGAAGAGCCGAGCUCCAGAAUCAAAGUUGCUCUCAUUUUAAACUUGUUGUUAGCUGCUGCUGAGUUGGCCCUGACUCACGGUAGCCCCGUGCACGAUGGAGUGGAAGGCUGCCCUGUCCUGGUGCCAGCCCCAUGAUUGGCUGUGAAUUAGACUGUUGUGAUCCAUGGGGUUUUCACUGGCUGAUUUUCGAAAGUAGAUUGCCAGGCCUUUCUUCCUAGUCCAUUUCAGUCUAGAAGCUCUGCUGAGAUUUGCUCAGCAUCACAGCAACGUGCAAGCCUCUGCUGACAGACGGAUGAUGGCUGCGUAUGAGGCGUAUUCGCAGGGAAUUGAAUGCUGGUCUCCCCCAUGGGAAGCAUGAAUCGUACCAUGGAGCAACAAGUGUCCCCUCUUUUUAAACUGCCGUGUACAAAAUCUACAUAAUACUCACAUCAAUAAACCUGUUUCCCUCUGGGUUCCUGUGAUGGGACAAUCACCUGACAGAUCCUGAUUGCAGUGAACUGAGUUGGGAAAAUACUGAGUGUAUGACCUUAAACAUGGCGAAAAACAACAAAAGUGAAUCUCACUCAGGGUGACUGGAUUCCUCUGAGUUUCCAGAGCUUGAUAAGCUUGCUGUAAAAUGUCACUCGCGGUGGUGGCGACGGAAGGGGCGGUGGGGGGCGGGGGUACUAUGUAAUCAGAUGCCCGAGUUGUUGGAAGGGGAAUGGGUGGGGAGUUCAUGUGGUUUGGAAAAUAGGAAGUUCUACCCCAAAGUGUGUCAUUUCUGAAGUGAAGGAAGUUCUGAUUUGCUAUUUGAAGAGCCUGCACGAUAGCAAUUCGAUAUUUUCAACGUAUUUAUGACAGUAAACACACAGCUUUUCACAAAAUUGUAUGGUGUUAUUUGGACAUAAAUUGGCUAAAAUAUACUCCAAGAUUAGCCACUCUGGGAUUUUAUAAAGCCGGAGAGAAAGUCCUGUUUCUCUUGUGAGAGGCAACAUUGCUUGCAUUUCAAUUUCUUUUUUCACUUAAAAUGCAGAUUUUCAAACUAUUGAAGAAACUUGUGUCAACUUUCGAGGGGAAUGUGACGGAUGCUGGGGAAAGCCGCAUUGGUUAUCACCGCUACAAAAGAGGAAGCGAGGUCAUAACUGAAAGAGGCCUGAAUUAGACUGCCCUCCAGAAGGCCGGCUGACGUAUGGAGAGACGCCCCACACCAUGGUCUGCCACCACUGUGGCAGGCUGGCCGAUCGGCGGGUUUCACCCUGAAUGACUCCAGUAUUCCUGCCACUGCUGGGGGGAGGGAGAAGGCCUGAAAGGCCCAGUGUCCUCCAUGCAGGGAUGCUGGCCUCAAGCCUACAGAGUUCAGGAACUCACCCAGACUGUGAUAAAGCAAUUCUUAAGGAAGAUAGAGAAGAAGAAGAAACAAAGAAUCAAGAUUGCUUACCUAUCUUAACCAAAUGCUUAAGAAGGAGAUACUGGCCCAUACCUUGCUUUUGCAUUCAAAGCUAACAUUUUCAUGACUAAGGUUGAAGCCUGGCAAUUGCUAGUUACUACUGCAUGAGCACUCUCAAAGAAAAAGAGUACCCUGCAAAAAUGGGGA